UACGUAGGUGGCGAGCGUUAUCCGGAUUUAUUGGGCGUAAAGGGUGCGCAGACGGUUUAUUAAGUCUAAAAUCAAAUCUUGGGGCUCAACCCCAUUCCGUUUUAGAAACUGGUAGACUUGAGUAUGGUAGAGGCAAAUGGAAUUCCUAGUGUAGCGGUGGAAUGCGUAGAUAUUAGGAGGAACACCAGUGGCGAAGGCGAUUUGCUGGGCCAUUACUGACGUUCAGGCACGAAAGCGUGGGGAGCAAAUAGG
rnacentral:rRNA from 1 species